UGAGUGAGAGCAGCAGUGGAGGGUAGGAUGUCUGUGGAAGGUCCUCCACCAAAUGAUCCAUGAGAUGCCAUCUCAUCAGCCAAAAGGGAUGCUAAUCUGCGCAACUAAUCCUCACUCAGUGCAGGUGGAGAGGGAAAAGAAGAUGGAUCAGGAUGUGUUGUUGUAGGUGCAUGGAUGGAAGGCGAAGAGGAUAUGUCAGGGGAAGCUAUAGGAAUAUUGGGGUGUGGAGCAGAGGAGGAAGCAGCAGUAUUCAAGGUUGUCCUAGUC
rnacentral:lncRNA from 1 species